GCUCCCCGUUGCAGAGCAUACAGAUGGAGGGGGAACGAUGACUACAAACAAGAUGGCCUUCUUCCCCGACCCGACCUCCUUCCCAGGCACUCACACGCCCUCCGGUCCACAACCCUCCGCGUGUGUGGUACCUGACGGGAGUCGCAGUCCGUCUGCUGCCUUCCCGCUGCCAUUUCUACUUCUCAGGAACAAUGGAAAGGUGAAAAGGAACGAGGACUACAAACAAGAUGGCUGCAGAGGGGCGUACAACCUGACUAGUAGCCGAUCUCAUGAGGGAAUCGGUAUCUUUCAAGUCGUGAGGGUUCCAAGGAGAAGGCUCUGAGGUCAUGCAAAACCCCCGCCCCGCCUUCGGAAGUCACCAACUCUCAGUUCUCACAUCUGAAAAAUGGGGAUAAUGCUACCCACCUCCAAGCAGAGUUAGGAGAAUAAAGACAAUGGUCACGAGAGUUCCCAGCUCAGGGCCCGCCAUGGG